GACAGAGGGUGCAAACGUUGUUCGGAAUUACUGGGCGUAAAGCGCGUGUAGGCUGCUUUGCAAGUCGGAUGUGAAAGCCCCGGGCUCAACCUGGGAAGUGCACUCGAAACUGCAGAGCUCGAGUCCUGGAGAGGAAGGCGGAAUUCUCGGUGUAGAGGUGAAAUUCGUAGAUAUCGAGAGGAACACCGGUGGCGAAGGCGGCCUUCUGGACAGUGACUGACGCUGAGGUGCGAAAGCGUGGGGAGCAAACAGG
rnacentral:rRNA from 1 species